rnacentral:rRNA from 1 species
GACGAACGCUGGCGGCGUGCUUAACACAUGCAAGUCGAACGGUAAGGCCCUUCGGGGUACGACGAGUGGCGAACGGGUGAGUAACACGUGGGUGAUCUGCCCUGCACUUCGGGAUAAGCCUGGGAAACUGGGUCUAAUACCGGAUAGGACCAUGGACUUCACGGUUUGUGGUGGAAAAGCUUUUGCGGUGUGGGAUGGGCCCGCGGCCUAUCAGCUUGUUGGUGGGGUAAAUGGCCUACCAAGGCGACGACGGGUAGCCGGCCUGAGAGGGUGUCCGGCCACACUGGGACUGAGAUACGGCCCAGACUCCUACGGGGAGGCAGCAGUGGGGGAAUAUUGCACAAUGGGCGCAAGCCUGAUGCAGCGACGCCGCGUUGAGGGAUGACGGCCUUCGGGUUGUAAACCUCUUUCUAAUAGGGACGAAAGCGCAAG